GCCUACGAUCAUACUACGUUGAAAGCACCGCAUCCCGUCAGAUCUGCGAAGUUAAGCAACGUUAGGCCGGGUUAGUACUAUGGUUGGUGACAACAUGGGAACACUCGGUGUCGUAGGCGUUU
rnacentral:rRNA from 1 species